rnacentral:rRNA from 1 species
GAAUCUACCUAGUAGUGGGGGAUAGCUCGGGGAAACUCGAAUUAAUACCGCAUACGACCUACGGGAGAAAGGGGGCAGUUUACUGCUCUCGCUAUUAGAUGAGCCUAAGUCGGAUUAGCUAGAUGGUGGGGUAAAGGCCUACCAUGGCGACGAUCUGUAGCUGGUCUGAGAGGAUGAUCAGCCACACCGGGACUGAGACACGGCCCGGACUCCUACGGGAGGCAGCAGUGGGGAAUAUUGGACAAUGGGGGAAACCCUGAUCCAGCCAUGCCGCGUGUGUGAAGAAGGCCUUUUGGUUGUAAAGCACUUUAAGCAGUGAAGAAGACUCCACGGUUAAUACCCGUGGACGAUGACAUUAGCUGCAGAAUAAGCACCGGCUAACUCUGUGCCAGCAGCCGCG